rnacentral:rRNA from 2 species
UUUAUAUGAGAGUUUGAUCCUGGCUCAGGAUGAACGCUGGCGGCGUGCCUAAUACAUGCAAGUCGAACGAGUUCUCGUUGAUGAUUGGUGCUUGCACCGAGAUUCAACAUGGAACGAGUGGCGGACGGGUGAGUAACACGUGGGUAACCUGCCCUUAAGUGGGGGAUAACAUUUGGAAACAGAUGCUAAUACCGCAUAGAUCCAAGAACCGCAUGGUUCUUGGCUGAAAGAUGGCGUAAGCUAUCGCUUUUGGAUGGACCCGCGGCGUAUUAGCUAGUUGGUGAGGUAAYGGCUCACCAAGGCGAUGAUACGUAGCCGAACUGAGAGGUUGAUCGGCCACAUUGGGACUGAGACACGGCCCAAACUCCUACGGGAGGCAGCAGUAGGGAAUCUUCCACAAUGGACGCAAGUCUGAUGGAGCAACGCCGCGUGAGUGAAGAAGGCUUUCGGGUCGUAAAACUCUGUUGUUGGAGAAGAAUGGUCGGCAGAGUAACUGUUGCCGGCGUGACGGUAUCCAACCAGAAAGCCACGGCUAACUACGUGCCAGCAGCCGCGGUAAUACGUAGGUGGCAAGCGUUAUCCGGAUUUAUUGGGCGUAAAGCGAGCGCAGGCGGUUUUUUAAGUCUGAUGUGAAAGCCCUCGGCUUAACCGAGGAAGCGCAUCGGAAACUGGGAAACUUGAGUGCAGAAGAGGACAGUGGAACUCCAUGUGUAGCGGUGAAAUGCGUAGAUAUAUGGAAGAACACCAGUGGCGAAGGCGGCUGUCUGGUCUGUAACU